UGGACGGGCCGGGCGGAAGGCUGGGGGCGGCCAUCUUAGAGCCGGGCGAAGGCUGCGAGGGCGGGCAGGGCCGCGACGCCGGAAGCAGGGAACGCUCCUAAAUAAAUGCUUUUAUAGCCCUAGCUCCCAAACGAGCGGGCUCCACUUCAAACUUGCGUCGGGAGUAGGAGCUACGAGAAAAUUAGAAUCGCGAUUUCACGGUGCAGCGUGAGCGCACCGAUCAGGAGCAGCACAGCCGGCGACAGCCGCACCAGCGCGGGCGGGGCGGCACGGCGGCUAGGUCUCGGUGCAGAGCGUGCUCUGUUUUGUUUGUGAAAGGAAAGAAGGAAAGUCUUUUGAACGUCAACUGCUGGUCUUCCUCGUCCGAGUUCUGAGCGGAUUUUUACACCCGUAGCAGAGACGCGAGCCGCAGGAUGCCGGUGCCCAGGCAGGAGCGUAGCCAGGAGCUUCCCCCGUGCACAGGACUUGCAAGAAGGGCCUCUGGAGUACUCUGAUCCCCCCAAAUACAAAGGUACUGACUGGACGGAGCGAGUCCGAGUCCGGCAGAAGGCUGCAAAGAUGGUCAGGGAUCAGAGCACGAGGGACGAGCCGAGGCUGAGAGCCGGGCUUUUUCAGCCUUGAAAAGAGAAGGCUUUGUGAGGACCUUGCUGCUGUCCACAGCUACCUCACCAGAGGAGCCAGAGAAGACGGAGGAAAACUCGUCAGAGUUGCAUAGCAAAGAGGCAGCAGGCACAGGUAUAUAAAAAAAAAUAUUUUGGAAGAACGUCAGAAGUUCAGCCUUCUGUAACUCCCAG